UAUCACAAUACAUAUUAUUCUCAUUCGGAGGAGCACAUGAGUGAGGUAGGGGGUUGAGCCAAUUAUCAACAAAUGGGACAAACCAUUGGCAUUGGGAGCAGUGGAUCCACAUGAUUCACUCUCACAUCCCGCAGGCGUUGCUGAUGCACAGGCUGAAUCAGCUGCUUGUGUAGACCCUGACCAGUUCAUUAACUUUUUGAUCCCAAACAGGUUUAGUGGCGAGGAGAUUGGCUCGACCAAAGAAAAAUCCAUUUCCACUGCCAGAUGCUUUAUAUGGCAGCUCAGCAGAGAAACCUAUGUUAUUAUGCUCUUUUCUAUAAUAAGAAACGAAUCACUUGUGCGCAUCUUCUUUUAACUCUCCUACUUUUGGUUUUCAUCAGCUUAAGAACCUGGAAGAAACAAGACGAUCGCUAAGAGAAACGCCUCUUGAAGAAAACCGGAAAAAGGAGCUGUCAACUGCACUUCAUGUGUAUUUUCAAAAACUGGCUUGGCUCUAUGCAAGCGGAAAUAUAAGGCAACUCUACUGCCUACAAGGUGACUAAUAAAUUAAUAAUGAACAAAUAAACCAAGUGGAAGAUGUCCAGUUUCUGUAGAGAGCUCUCUCGAUCAUUUUGGUAUAUUUUGCUGGUAAUGAAGAAACCCAAGACCCCGUCCAGCCUGAUUUGUAGUUUGGAAUCUAUACGCACCACCACGUUAACUUAUCUGCACAGAACAUUCCACUAAAGCUUUUCCUUUAGAUUAUUAUUUUCUUUAUUUCUGCUUUGGUCAUGUUCAAUCUUUGUUCCUUUCGACUUUUCAAUCCCUCGUUUUUGUCCUCUUUUCGCUUUUAAAACCUCAUCUUCGGGAUGUUUUGCUUGAACUAAUGAACUGUUUGCAGUUGUAUAAGCAGAUAGGUGAUGAAUUACUCACUAAAGAGUUUUUAAGGACUUGCUAAUUGCCAUUUUAUUCAUAAGUUGAUAGAUAGCAUAUAUUAAUGAUGAUGGUGUUGAUGUUAAUGUUUUAACCUCAAACUCUUGAUGAUGAUGAUGUUUUAGUCUGAUUCUCAAACUAAGUAAACAUGAGUUGUUUGCUGGAUGUGAACAAAACAAAGAGCUUUCCACUAACACGGAAAGCAAUUAAGACAUAUCCCAAGUUAGCAUGUUUACAUUUAUCUAGUUGGGUAUUUAAAUUCUCCGGUUUAGUUUUGAAUCUUUUGAUUAAUAGCUGACCAACGAGUCAAUAUUUGACCAUGAGGAAGGACUAGAAGAUACAACUAAGUAGUUACCAAAAAUCGUAAAAGAAUUUUUGUUUUAUUGAUGGGAUGAAAUAAACAAAAAUGUCAUAAAUUAAUUUUCUCUCUGGUUUAGUUUUGAUUAAUAGCUGACUAACGAGUCAAUAUGACUGUGGGAAGGACUAAAAGUUACAACAACUAGGUAGCUAGCAACAACCAUGGAAGAAUAAACAUAUAACAAAAUUAGAAAAGGUAAAAGACUUGCAGCUAUAUAUAUUGAGAAUCUACAAGACUCAGUUCCAAUUAUUAUAAGAUCAGAGCAACAAAGCCAGAGAGAGAAAAACAAAGCCAUACAAUUUUUUUUCUUUGAGCAAAAGCAGAACCUUGAGAAGAUGUCUUCAUCGCAUAACAACAAAAAAUCAUCAUCCUCCUCCACUCAGUCUUCCCUCCCCGACGGUGCCACCACGGAAGCAAACAACGUUAAGCCUGAAGAGAAGGCGAUUACGUCGACCCAAAAACCCAACUCCGUUGUUGAUAGGACGUUCAUAUCAGAGACGGACAGAUACAUAUGUGAAAUGUGCUGCAAAAUAUUUGAAAGAUAUGAUGAUCUACAAGGUCACAAGAGAGAUGGCUGUCCACAUAGGCUAGGCUGGCCAUAUAGGGGACGAAACUGAGGAGUAAUGGUAUAAGCGUUACCAGAUGUUCAAUCUGUCUGCAAAAGCUAUCUAUAAUAAGACUUGUGAUAGAGACCAUCUUUUCUUUAUAAAACUAAUGUACCGUCUUUCUUGGUUUCUAUAAUAUAUGUUUCCGUUUGAUAA